rnacentral:rRNA from 1 species
AACACAUGCAAGUGGAGCGACGAACCGGGCUUCGGCCCGGGGCAAAGCCGCGAACGGGUGAGUAACACGUGGGUAACCUGCCCUGAUGAUUGGGACAACCCGAGGAAACUCGGGCUAAUACCGAAUGUGCCCUCCAGCCAUAAGGCUGCUGGGGAAAGGAAGCUUCGGCCUCCGCAUCGGGAUGGGCCCGCGGCCCAUUAGCUUGUUGGUGAGGUAAAGGCUCACCAAGGCCACGAUGGGUAGCUGGUCUGAGAGGACGAUCAGCCACACUGGGACUGAGACACGGCCCAGACUCCUACGGGAGGCAGCAGUGGGGAAUCUUGCGCAAUGCGCGAAAGCGUGACGCAGCAACGCCGCGUGGGGGAAGACGGCCUUCGGGUUGUAAACCCC